rnacentral:tRNA from 1 species
AGCUCCGUAGUGUAGUGGUCAAUCAUUUUAGGUUCUGGUCCUGAAGACGCCGGUUCAAAUCCGGCCGGAGCUA